GACGAACGCUGGCGGCGUGCUUAACACAUGCAAGUCGAGCGGUAAGGCCCUUUCGGGGGUACGACGAGCGGCGAACGGGUGAGUAACACGUGGGUGACCUGCCCUCAGCUCUGGGAUAAGCCUGGGAAACCGGGUCUAAUACCGGAUAUGACUCCAUGACGCAUGUUGUGGGGUGGAAAGCCUUGUGCGGCUGAGGAUGGGCCCGCGGCCUAUCAGCUUGUUGGUGGGGUGAUGGCCUACCAAGGCGACGACGGGUAGCCGGCCUGAGAGGGCGACCGGCCACACUGGGACCGAGACACGGCCCAGACUCCUACGGGAGGCAGCAGUGGGGAAUCUUGCGCAAUGGGCGAAAGCCUGACGCAGCGACGCCGCGUGA
rnacentral:rRNA from 1 species